rnacentral:tRNA from 1 species
GCCCCGGUAGCCCAACGGCAGAGGCAGGCGGCUUAAACCCGCUCCAGUCUCGGUUCGAGUCCGAGUCGGGGCA